AUUUUAUAUGAUAAUUAUAAAAAAUUAAUUUUAUUUUAUUCCUUUAAUCGUAAUUAAAAGUUUAUAAUAAUAUUUUUGUAAUUUUCAAGAAAAGUUUUUGCGAAGUUUAUAGCUGAUGGGAUUGAUGAUUACCACUUUAGUGAACAGAUGAAAUAAUAGUAUUCAUGGAGGGCAAUUUUCUACAUAAUUAUAGUCAAUUUUUGAAAUUUCACAUAAGAUGGAAAAUAAUGUAAAAAUGGUUUUAAACGUCUAAACGAUAGUGGAGAAUAUAAUGUGUUUGAGAGCACAAUAUUAUUUCCAAUUAAAUAUUUUGUAUCAUAUGCGUCGUUCUGUAAAUAAUUUGUCGAUGCGUUGAUGCGCUAUAGCGAAGCAUCAUAGCUAUCGUGAAAUACAGGAAACGAUAAUUCUAGUCAACGACGAUAUUGAUGAUAGAGUUAUUCCAGAAACACACAGAAGAACGAACGUAUCUCCGAAUAAAGAUAAUAUAUCCGUUAUAUAACAAAUAUAAAUAAAAUAUUGAAAAUGUAAAUAAUUAUAAAUAAAUUACAAAUGGAGAAUAAGUUUUCAAAUUGUUGCAUAAUUUGUUCAAUAUAUCUAGAUAUCAAACAUUUGAAAACAGAUUAUCAUAAUGGAACAUUCAACUGUGGUGUGAUAAGACAAUGUCAAAACUGCAUAUACGUAUUUUCGUGAAAAUAAAAAUAAAAUGUGAAUUAAAAACUGAAAUCAUAUUUCAAUCAUCAUACACUCCAUUGAUCUAAUAAUUUCUAAUUUAUAAACACAAUCUUUUUCGGGAUAAAAUAUACAUAUAUAUCAUAUAUUGAAUUUUUACUCACUUUAUAAUCUUCAUUUGAUAUUCAACAAUAUCCACAAGCUUCGUAAGCACAAUUGUCUCAGAGCAUAUUCAUGUAACUCGCUGCAGUCUUUAUGAUCUAAAAGUAAAUGCAAACAAAUGCAAAUAAAUGUGGAAAAAAUGUGCAUGAGUCUAAUGUUUUCAUACGUACAUUAGUAAAGGUGACUAAAGAUAAAUCUAUAAUUUUUCCUGCCGUGAUUUUUAUUGGAUAAUUCGACAUAAUGAUCAAUAAUAUCAAGCUGCGCGAUUUUCUUAUAGGCAAUUCAUACCACUUCAACGUAUUAUAUGCCUGCCUAACAUUCUCGCUCUAUUACAGGUAAAAUUUUUGUUAAAUAUCCCAUCAAACUAAUUUUUGAUAUUAUAUUUUUAUCCAUAAACAACAGAUGGUUUACUUCAUCAAAUAGAAGUUGACCGACAUAGCAUACCGAGAAGGCGCCAAUUAAACAAGUCAUUUGGACGAGAACAUAAGUAAUUAUACCCAUACCAUUAUUUUCUUGCCAUUCCUAAAAUAUAACUAACAAUAUGUUAACUGAAAUCAUCAUUAAUUUCAAUAUAACGCAUCGUUCGUACCAUGAUUAUGCAGUAACCAAUUAUACACAUAAUCAAUACUUGGAUAAAAACUUCGAUAAGACAAAUAGCGGGUAUAAAUUGAUCAAGUUGAUUCAAAAAUCUGAAAUGAAAAUUACACUUUUUAAUUCAAUUAACUUUGCAUCUUCUUUUUUUUUUUUUUUCGAUACUCACUCUUUGAU
rnacentral:lncRNA from 1 species